CUGGCGGCAUGCCUAAUACAUGCAAGUCGAGCGAAUGAUGAAGAAGCUUGCUCUCUGAUUAGCGGCGACGGGUGAGUAACACGUGGGCAACCUACCCUAUAGAUUGGGAUAACACAGGGAAACCUGUGCUAAUACCGAAUAAUACAUUUUCUUUCAUGAGAAGAUGUUGAAAGAUGGUUUCGGCUAUCACUAUAGGAUGGGCCCGCGGCGCAUUAGCUAGUUGGUGAGGUAAUGGCUCACCAAGGCAACGAUGCGUAGCCGACCUGAGAGGGUGAUCGGCCACACUGGGACUGAGACACGGCCCAGACUCCUACGGGAGGCAGCAGUAGGGAAUCUUCCACAAUGGGCGAAAGCCUGAUGGAGCAAUGCCCGCGUGAGUGAUGAAGGAUUUCGGUUCGUAAAACUCUGUUGUAAGGGAAGAACAAGUAGCGUAGUAACUGGCGUUACCUUGACGGUACCUUAUUAGAAAGCCACGGCUAACUACGUGCCAGCCGCGGC
rnacentral:rRNA from 1 species